UACGGAAGGGGCAAGCGUUGUUCGGAUUUACUGGGCGUAAAGGGCGCGUAGGCGGUCAGCACAAGUCAGUUGUGAAAUCUCCGGGCUUAACUCGGAAAGGUCAACUGAUACUGUGCGACUAGAGUGCGGAAGGGGCAACUGGAAUUCUCGGUGUAGCGGUGAAAUGCGUAGAUAUCGAGAGGAACACCAAUUGCGAAGGCAGCUCGCUGGGACGUUACUGACGCUGAGACGCGAAAGCGUGGGGAGCAAACAGG
rnacentral:rRNA from 1 species